rnacentral:lncRNA from 1 species
GAGCGGCGGUUCUCAACCAAUUGCUUGAGCGGUUCGGAUUCUUCGAAGCAACGGCAUAAAGGAAUUUGGUUAGAGUUUCUAUACUUCUCUAAUUUGGUCUUCUCGGUUUUACGAAAAGCUUUUUUCGGUAUUUUCUUGGAGUUUUCGUUGGAACAAGAAAGGUGGGAUUCACCAUAAGGUUCUUGGUUUUUUAUCCGGAGAAGACAUACGGUGUAAGCUUGUACUUUUAUUUCUUCAUAUAGUGGAAUACAUCUCUCUCGCUCUCCCCGUGGACGUAGGCGAUUGCCGAACCACGUAAAUCUUGGUUUCUUCUUUCUGCAUUUAUUUCUUUUACCGUUCGGUCGAUUUUCUCUAUUUUUCGUGCAUCUUUGUUGGUAGCACAUGACGGACGAUCCAUCCGGUUCCCAACAAGUGGUAUCAGAGCGUAAGGUUCGUGCUACAUCAGAGAUGUCGAAAGUCUCGUCUUCUAAGUUUGAGGUGGAGAAAUUUGACGGUAAAGGAAACUUCGGUCUCUGGCAGAGAAGAGUGAAAGCCCUUCUGGUUCAACAGGGCCUUCAUAAGGCGUUGCUCGGAAAAUCGAAAAAGCCGACAUCGAUGAGCGACGAAGAUUGGGAGGAUAUUGAUCUGCGAGCGGUGAAUACAAUUAUAUUGUGUCUAGCAGAUGAGGUGAUGUAUAACGUAAUGGAUGAAGAAACUACAGUCGGCAUGUGGAACAAACUAGAGAAGCUGUACAUGACCAAAAGCCUCUCGAACGUGCUGUACCUAAAGCAAAAAUUAUAUGGGCUACGCAUGAAGGAAGGUACGGCAAUAACGGAACACUUGAACACCUUUAAUAAAAUUAUUGCGGAUUUGCUCAGCAUUAAUGUUAAGGUUGACGAGGACGAUAAGGCGUUGAUUUUUCUUACAUCACUUCCGCCGUCCUACAAUCACUUGGUGACCACCAUACUGUACGGGAAGCAAACUCUAAAGAUGGAAGAUGUUACAUCGACACUUUUAUCUGAAGAGAUCAGAUUGCAGGCGAGUACCGAAGAAAGUAGUGCAGGUUUGGUCGUAAAUGAUACAAGUGGAGGAAGGGGACAAUCAAGAGAACGUGAUGCAGAUAAAGGAAGAUCCCGUUCCAAGUCAAAAUCGAAAAAGGUAAAGUGUUACUUCUGUAAGAAAGAGGACCACAUGAAAAAGAACUGCGAAAAGAGGAAGGCUUGGCUGCGAAAUCAGAAUUCCUCUGCAGAUACGGCGAGCGUAGCUAGUGAUUCCGGUCAGGACGUCUUGACGGUUACAACAGAUUCUGACUCUCACGGUGACUGGAUAUUAGAUUCUGGUUGUUCUUAUCACAUGUCUCCAAACAGGUCUUUAUUUGAUACUUAUAAGUCUUGUGAAGGCAGUAGUGUUAUGAUGGGUAAUCGCACUAGCUGCAAGAUGGUCGGUAUCGGAACAGUAAAAAUAAAGAUGUUUGAUGGUGUGGUGAGGACGUUAACGGAUGUGAGACACAUUCCGGAUCUCAGGUUAAAUCUUAUAUCACUUGGUACUCUUGACUCUACUGGCUGUUCUAUUAGUAUUUCAGGUGGAGUCGUCAAGGUUAAAAAGGGUGCCAUGGUCGUCAUGAAGGGAGAGAAGAAAGGGAAUAUGUAUAGGCUGAUCGGCGAGUCGGUGAUUGGAGGCGUUGCGGUAAUAUCCUCAGAAGAUCAUGAUGCUGAUGAUACGGAGCUCUGGCACAUGAGACUAGCCCACAUGAGUGAAAGAGGGAUGUUGGAACUGCAUAAAAGGGGAGUACUCAAAGGUAUUAAAUCCUGUAAACUUAAUUUCUGCAAAUAUUGUUUAUUUGGAAAACAGAAAAGGUUGAGUUUCAGGACCUCCAGUCAUAAAAGUAAAAGUAUACUUGAGUAUAUCCAUGCGGACGUGUGGGGACCGGCUCCGGUGACUUCGAAAGGUGGUGCGCGAUAUUUUAUUACAUUUAUCGAUGAUUUCUCCCGUAAGGUUUGGGUAUUCUUCAUGAAGGAAAAGUCUGAGGCAUUUAUAAAGUUCAGACAUUGGAAGAAUGAGGUGGAGAAACAAACUGGGAAGCAGGUCAAGGUUCUUCGAACGGACAAUGGUGGAGAGUUCACUUCUCGGGAGUUUAAGAAAUUCUGCAAGGAUGAAGGUAUUGUACGUCAUUACACGGUUCCAGGUACUGCACAGCAGAAUGGGGUAGCAGAAAGGAUGAACCGGACAUUGCUAGAACGUGCCAGAUCCAUGAGGUUAUGUGCAGAUUUGCCAAAGGAGUUCUGGGCUGAAGCAGUAGAUAUGGCGUGCUAUAUUAUUAAUCGAUCUCCCGCCACAGCAAUCGAACUCAAAACACCGGAGGAAGUUGCAUGGACAGGAGUAAACUUGCAGAUUAUUUCCUCUUACGGGUCUUUGGGUUGUCCUGCCGUUCAUGUCAUAUCCAGGAAUCAGCGCACAAAGUUAGAAUUUCGAAGUGUCAAAGCCUGACAUAUUUCUUGGUACGAUAUGGGUGAUUAAAGCAGAUACAAGCUGUGGGACCUAUCGCAAGAAGAGGUGUAUUGCAGGACGUAGUUUUUGACGAAUAAGCGUAUGCCGCGUAAGAAUCAUCAGAGAGGGCUCAUGUGUAAGAACAGUCAAAAACUAGCCAGAUCUAGGUGGAGCAGGCAAGAGGGUGUAGAAUGAAUCAGGUGGAGCAGCGCCACUAUCAUGGAUGAUCAUUGGUACACAAAACGAUCGCUGAUUGAAGCACUUCGGACAAGAGCCCUAUCUAUCGCGUAAAGAAAGGGAAAGGAGCAGCAUUCGUCACCUUUACGGUACAGGUUGGAGGAUAUAUUCGUUAUGCCUUUUAAUUACAUCAGUAUGGAUACCCACUUCCUAUCAGAGGGCGAGCCGGAAGAGAAUGGCAGUGCAUGGAUGCGGCUAUGACGAGAGAAUGAGCCAGUCUCUACAGAGAAUCAGAUAUGGAUUUGAUUCAAUUACGGAAGGAAGAGAUCUAUCGCGUGCAAUUGGAUCUAGCACAAAGAAGCAGGCGUGGCAGAUGGGAAUGAAACCAGGAAAAAUUCAAGGCGCGGUUAGUAGCCAAGGACUAUGCUGUAGUAAAAGGAGUUGAUUUCAAUGAGAUUUUCUCACCGGUGGUGAAACACGCGUUUAUUAGGAUAUGCUUCUGCCUUAUGGUGGCUAUUUUGAUUUAGAGUUCAGCAGCUCGACGUUCGAACCGCAUUUCUUCCACGGGGAUCGUAGAAUGAAUUAUAUGGAACAACCCAGAUAUUACUCAGCGCGGGGGAAGGAGAAUUGUGUGUGACAACUGAGCAGAUCUCUCUACGGGUUGAAGCAGGCACGAGGCAGUGGUAUAAGCGGUUGAUGGAAGUUUAUGAUAGAGCAUGGUUUAUAUAGCAGAAGUUUAUAUGAACUAGAUGUGUGUUACUAUCGCAGGCUUGAAGAUGGUUCGUUUAUUCUGCUUUAUGCUAUCAUGUAGACGGAUAUGCUUCUAGCCAGCUAAGAACUCGAAAUGAAGUGCAACAAUUAAAGGAUCAGGUUUGAGCGAGAAUUUGAUAUGAAGACCUAGGAGUGCUAGCGAAUAUCCUAUUGGAGAUCAGACGCACGCCCGUACGGGUAAAUUAUUUUAUCGCAGAGACAUAUAUCGAAGCUAUUAUAAAGAAUUAAUUGUCAGAGAGCGAGCCAGGUCAGUCCAUGUAGCCAACACUUCAAACUUUUCUGAGGAGAUGAUGUCCAAGACGGAUAUGAGGAAUUACUUCUAUCGUCAAGCACCAUAUGCUAGUGCCAGUCGGUUGCCUAGCUAUGUAUGAUCUGUAUUAGGCCUAUCUUCACAUGCCAUGUUAGUGUUGUCAGUCGGUAUAUUGUCGAAUCAGAGAAAACAACACUGCGCAGGCGUGAAGUUGAGAUUUGCGCUAGUUCUGAGGCACAUCAGAUAAGGUAUUCUACUACUCGAAAGAUCUACGGUAAUGAUGAGUGAAGGGGUUUGUACGAUUCCGAUCUAUGCGGGUGUUAUGGACAAGCGUAUGGUCCAUUAAUUACGCUUUUCUGACAGCGGCGGACUAAUCAGUUGGAAAUCUACGAUUGCAGGCAUCUGAGCUAUCAUACAGAAACGGGCAGUUAUGCGCAUUGAAGCAGGUAAGAGCAGUCUGGCGCUUAGAGGCUUGGUGUAAUGCCGGAUCUGCAGGAAAAAUGAUUAUCGGUUUGUAGAAUGUCAAGUGUAAUAAUGUCUCGCCAGGAAUCAGUUUACCAUGGGAGACAAAGCAAUAGAAAUCAACGUUUCACAAAUUACGGUGGAGUCACUAAAUGGAGGAUGUGGAAAUUCGCUAUAAAGGUUUCCACAAAAGAUAAUGAUUAGCUGAAUCUGAUCAAAGACGUAACAGCGGAUAGUUUAGCACGUGUCUAUAAACUUGGCUAAUUUGCAUGACUUGCCUAAUAUGUCUGAUGCCUACAGGAGAUAGGGGGCGAUAAGAAUGAGAGGAGUAAUGAAGCUACAAAAAGAAGGUCAGGUGCUGAGAAUGCUUAAAAAAUAUGCCUUCUUUUGAAUCUGGGUUGAGUCAAAUUAAUUUAACCAUUAAGUUGGUUCAUAAAAUAUAUCAAUUGGUUUUGAAAUUGAUUCUCAUUGGCAGAAGAUACGUGCUAUAUCUGUAUAGAUUGAAACUAUAUCUUUACUCGGAAGGAUAAGAUAUAUUAGGAUCGCACGUUAUUAGAAGCAUAGUCGGUUUAUGCUUCUCAAAGCCGAGUCCAAUGAUUGCGGUUGAAUUCUUGACCGGGCUAUAAUGCUUAUAUAUAUGCAUGCGUUGUGAACCGUAUUUGUGUGGCCAAAAUUAAUUAGUCUUGAGGCAUACGACAAGCAAGAAAAGGGAGGCUAAUUAAUUAAGUUGUUGAAGCCUACGGAAGUGCUUCAAUAGGUGUGCGGCUUCCGCAUGCAUGCAACGUCGGAUUGUUGUUGGCGGCGGAGCGGCGGUUCUCAACCAAUUGCCUGAGCGGUUCGGAUUCUUCGAGCAACGGGCAUAAAGGAAUUUGGUUAGAGUUUCUAUACUUCUCUAAUUUGGUCUUCUCGGUUUUACGAAAAGCUUUUUCGGUAUUUUUCUUGGAGUUUCGUUGGAACAAGAAAUGUGGAUUACCAUAACGGUUUUGUGUUUUUAUCGGAGAGACAUAAGGUAUAAGCUUGUACUUCUAUUUCUUCAUAUGUGGAUACAUCUCUACUCGCUUCUCCCUUGUGACGUAGGCAAUUGCCGAACACGUAAAUCUCUUGGUUUCUUCUUUUUGCAUUUAUUCUUUUACGUCUCGGAUCGAUUUCUCUAUUUUUCGUGCAUCUUUGUUGGUAGCACAUGCACGGACGAUCCAUCCGGUUCCCAAUAGUAUAUAUGAAUAUAGAUGAGUCGGCUACUAUGCUAUUGGUAGCACGGGGCCUCCCGUGCUACCAAGUUGUUUUCAAUGAUCGGCUCAGUUAGGCUUGAUCUACACUAUAAAAAGUAUUUGGAAACUAAAUUUCAUAAUUUUUCGACAUCAUUUGACUAGUGAUCAAAAAAUCUCAAAAUUGACCAUUUUAAUGGCCGAUAUGGCAUGUUUGUGAGUUUAACGGUGUAAAACAAUCCAAAUCCGAUGAAAAUUUUAUAGAAAAUUCUUUUCACUAUUUAGAGUAAGAUCAGUAUAUCUGAUCUUGAAUUUAAAUCUUUUAUCAUCAUUUUUUAUGAGAUUUUUAUUUUCAGCCGUUCAAUUUUAAACUACUUGUUUGGUAGGUAAAUGAUAUCGAAAAAUUAUGAAAUUUAGUUUCUAAAUAUUUUCAAUAGUGUAGAUCAAGUCUAACGGAGCCGAUUGUCGAUUUGGAAGCCGCAUCAUCGAAAACAACUUGGUAGCACGGAGCGCUCCGUGCUGCCGAUAGUAUAGUAGCCUAGUUCUAUAUAUAUAUAUAUAUAUAUAUAUAUAUAUAUAUAUAGUGUGAGGUUACUAUACUUUUGGAAGCAUGGAGCCUUUCAUGCUUCCAGGUUGUUUUCGAUAUUGCGACUUUCGAAUCGUCGAUCGGUUCCGUUAAACUUGAUCUAGAGUAUUUGAAGUGCUUAGAAAAUAAAUUUUAUGAUUUUUCGAUAUCAUUUGCCUAGUGAUCAAAGGGGCUCAAAAUCAAUAAUUUUAAAGGCCGUGGUGAGCCGUUUGCAAGUUUAACGGUGUAGAAAUAUCCAAAUCACUUGAAAUUUUGAUAAAAACUUCUUUAUACUAUAUAAAACAAAAUCAAUAUCUUUGAUCUAAAAUUAUAAUGUCAUAUUAUCACGUUUUGUAAGAUUUUUAUUUUCAGCCAUUGAUUUUGAGCCCUUUAGUUCACUAGGCAAAUGAUAUCGAAAAAUUGUAAAAUUUAUUUUCUAGGUACGUCGAAUACUCUAGAUCAAGUUUAACGGAACCGAUCGACGAUUCGAAAGUCGCAACAUCAAAAACGACCUUGAAGUACGGAAGGCUCCGUACUUCCAGAAGCAUAGUAGCCUCACUCUAUAUAUAUUGUGGAGCUAGAAUACUUUUAGAAGUACCAAGUGGGUGGUACUUUAGAGUUUUUACUCCUUGGAUGAUGAGAUGUGAGGUUGAGAUGAUGGUGGUAGGUGGUGGUAGGUGGAAUGGUGUUUGAUCUAAGGGAUAUUAGUAAUUAUGGAGUGGAUCCAAAGGUUAGAAAUUUAGAAGCACCAAGUGGGUGGUGCUUCUAAAAGUAUUCUAGCUCCACUCUCUCUCUCUCUCUCUCUCUCUCUCUCUCUCUCUCUCUCUAUAUAUAUAUAUAUAUAUAUAUGCUACUAUACUAUCUAUAGUACCGGAGCCCCAGUACUAUGGUCUUGUUUUCGAUCUUAGGGUGUUCAAAUUAACGAUCCACACCGUUAAAUAUNGGAGCAGCCCCACUAUCAGGAUGAUCAUGGUACACAAAGCGAUCCGAUUGAAAGCACUUCGGAGGAGCCCUACUCUAUCGCUAAAGGAAGGGAAAGAAGACAGAUUCGUCCACCUUUACGGUAUAGGUUGGAGGAUGUAAUAUUGUAUGCCUUAUUAAUUACAUCAGAUUAUCUCACUUCCUAUCAGGAGGCGAUGCAGGACAGAGAUAGUGGCAGAUGGAUAGCGGCUAAGAAUCAGAAUGAAGUGCAACAAUUAAAGGAUCAGUUGAGCCGAGAAUUUGACAUGAAGGACCUAGGAGGUGCUAGGAAAAUCCUAGGUAUGGAGAUCAGACGCGACCGCAUACAGGGUAAGUUAUGGUUAUCGCAGAAGACAUAUAUACGAGCUAUUAUAAAGCAAUUUAAUAUGUCAGAGGCGAAGACGGUCAAGACUCUAUUAGCCCAACACUUCAAACUUUCUGAGGAGAUGUGUCCGAAGACGGAUGAGGAGAUUACUUCUAUGUCAAAGAUACCAUAUGCUAGUGCAGUCGGUUGCCUGAUGUAUGCUAUGAUCUGCACUAGGCCUGAUCUUUCACAUGCAGUUAGUGUUGUCAGUCGGUAUAUGUCGAAUCCAGGAAAACAACACUGGGAGGCCGUGAAGUGGAUUUUGCGGUAUCUGAAGGGCACAUCAGAUAAAGGUAUUCUCUACUCGAAAGAUUCUGGUAAUGAUGAAGUGAAGGGGUUUGUAGAUUCCGACUAUGCGGGUGAUUUGGACAAGCGUAGGUCUAUUACAGGUUACGUCUUUCUGCUGGGCGGCGGACCUAUCAGUUGGAAAUCUACGUUGCAGCGCACUGUAGCCUUGUCAACUGCAGAAGCGGAGUAUAUGGCCGCAAUUGAAGCAGCUAAGGAAGCAGUCUGGCUUAGAGGCUUGGUUGGUGAACUUGGGAUCAUACAGGAAAAAAUGAUUAUCGGUUGUGAUAGUCAGAGUGCUAUAUGUCUCGCCAGGAAUCCAGUUUACCAUGGGAGGACAAAGCACAUAGAAAUCAAGUAUCACAAAUUACGGGAGCUCACUAAUGAGGAUGAUGGAGAAAUUCAGCUUAUAAAGGUUUCCACAAAAGAUAAUGUAGCUGACAUCAUGACAAAGCCGGUAACAGCGGAUAAGUUUAGACACUGUCUAAACUUGGCUAAUUUGCAUGACUGCUAAUGACUGGAUGCCUCAGGGAGAGGGGGCGAUAAGAUGAGAGAGAGUAAUGAAGUACAAAAGAAGUCAAGGUGGAGAAUGUUAAGAAUAUGCCUUCUUUUGAAUCUGGGUUGAGUCAAAUUAAUUAACCCAUUAAGUUGGUUCAUAAAAUAUAUCAAUUGGUUUUGAAAUUGAUUCUCAUUGGCGGAAGAUACGUGCUUAUCUGUAUAAGAUUGAACUAUAUCUUUACCUCGGAAGGAUAAAGAUAUAUUAGGAUCGCACGUAUUAGAAGCAUAGUCGGUUUAUGCUUCUCAAGCCGAGUCCAAUUGAUUGCGGUUGACUUCUUGACCGGGCUAAUGCAUUAUAUAUAUGCAUGCGUUGUGAACCGUAUUGUGUGGCCAAAAUUAAUUAAGUCUUGAGGGCCAUACGACAGCAAGAAAAAGGGAGGCUAAUUAAUUAAGUUCUUGAAGCCUACGGAAGUGCUUCAAGGUGUGCGGCUUCCGCAUGCAUGCAACGUCGGAUUGUUGUUGGCGGCGGAGCGGCGGUUCUCAACCAAUUGCCUGAGCGGUUCGGAUUCUUCGAAGCAACGGCAUAAAGGAAUUUGGUUAGAGUUUCUAUACUUCUCUAAUUUGGUCUUCUCGGUUUUAUGAAAAGCUUUUUCGGUAUUUUCUUGGAGUUUUCGUUGGAACAAGAAAGGUGGGAUUCACCAUAAGGUUCUUGGUUUUUUAUCCGGAGAAGACAUAAGGUGUAAGCUUGUACUUUUAUUUCUUCAUAUAGUGGAAUACAUUUCUCUCGCUCUCCCCGUGGACGUAGGCAAUUGCCGAACCACGUAAAUCUUGGUUUCUUCUUUCUGUAUUUAUUUCUUUUACCGUUCGGUCGAUUUUCUCUAUUUUUCGUGCAUCUUUGUUGGUAGCACAUGACGGACGAUCCAUCCGGUUCCCGACAGGUAUU